UACGAAGGUGGCGAGCGUUGUUCGGAAUCACUGGGCUUAAAGCGCGCGUAGGCGGAAUGGAUAGUGUCUUGUGAAAGUCCUCGGCUUAACCGGGGAAUUGCUUGGCAAACUUCCAUUCUUGAGGCAAGUAGGGGUACAUGGAACUCUUGGUGGAGCGGUGGAAUGCGUAGAUAUCAAGAGGAACGCCAAUGGUGAAGACAGUGUACUGGGCUUGUCCUGACGCUGAGGUGCGAAAGCGUGGGGAGCGAACGGGAUUAGAUACCCCAGUA
rnacentral:rRNA from 1 species